rnacentral:rRNA from 1 species
UACGGGGGGGGCAAGCGUUGUUCGGAAUUACUGGGCGUAAAGGGCUCGUAGGCGGCCAACUAAGUCAGACGUGAAAUCCCUCGGCUUAACCGGGGAACUGCGUCUGAUACUGGAUGGCUAGAGGUUGGGAGAGGGAUGCGGAAUUCCAGGUGUAGCGGUGAAAUGCGUAGAUAUCUGGAGGAACACCGGUGGCGAAGGCGGCGUUCUGGACUGUUACUGACACUGAGGAACGAAAGCCAGGGGAGCAAACGGG